AGCGAACGCUGGCGGCAGGCUUAACACAUGCAAGUCGAGCGGGCAUCCUUGUGGUGUCAGCGGCAGACGGGUGAGUAACGCGUGGGAACGUGCCCUUCGGUUCGGAAUAACUCAGGGAAACUUGAGCUAAUACCGGAUACGUGCGAGAGCAGAAAGGUUUAUCUGCCGAAGGAUCGGCCCGCGUCUGAUUAGCUAGUUGGUGAGGUUACGGCUCACCAAGGCGACGAUCAGUAGCUGGUCUGAGAGGAUGAUCAGCCACACUGGGACUGAGACACGGCCCAGACUCCUACGGGAGGCAGCAGUGGGGAAUAUUGGACAAUGGGGGCAACCCUGAUCCAGCCAUGCCGCGUGAGUGAUGACAGCCUUAGGGUUGUAAAGCUCUUUUCUCCGGGACGAUAAUGACGGUACCGGAGGAAUAAGCCCCGGCUAACUUCGUG
rnacentral:rRNA from 1 species